rnacentral:tRNA from 1 species
ACCUGGCUGGCUCAGCGGGUGGAGCGUGCGACUCUUGAUCUCAGGUUGUGGAUUCAAGUCCCGUGUUGGGUG